rnacentral:tRNA from 4 species
GCGCCCAUAGCUCAGCUGGAUAGAGCAACGGCCUUCUAAGCCGUAGGUCAUACGUUCGAAUCGUAUUGGGCGCACCA